UGUCUCUAUCUCUCUCUUUCUCUCUCUCUCCCAUCUCUUUACAUGAGGUGCAUGUGUGUGUAUUGUGAAAUGCUUGAUCACCUUUCUUUGUGUUCUGAUGUGCAUCUGAGGUGUUUGGUGGAAUUUGUAAGGGGCUCGAUGUGUGGUAUAUGUCUGAUCUGGUGUAUGAUGUUAUUGAGGUGUGUGAUGAUAUUUAUGAGGUGUGUGUGAUGUGUCUGAUCUUGUGUAUGAUGUAAUUGAGGUGUGUGAUGGUAUUUAUGAGGUGUGUGUGAUGUGUCUGAUCUGGUGUAUGAUGUAAUUGAAGUGUGUGAUGGUAUUUAUGAGGUGUUUGUGAUGUGUCAGAUCUGGUGUAUGAUGUUAUUGAGGUGUGUGAUUGUGUUUAUGAGGUGUUUGUGAUGUGUCUGAUCUGGUGUAUGAUGUUAUUGAGGUGUGUGAUUGUGUUUAUGAGGUGUUUGUGAUGUGUUUGAUCUGGUGUAUUGUGUUAUUAAGGUGUGUGAUGGUAUUUAUGAGGUGUUUGUGAUGUGUUUUAUCUGGUGUAUGAUGUUAUUUAGGUGUGUGAUUGUGUUUAUGAGGUGUUUGUGAUGUGUAUGAUCUGGUGUAUGAUGUCAUUGAGGUGUGUGAUGAUAUUUAUGAGGUGUUUUUGAUGUGUUUGAUUUGGUAUAUUGUGUUAAUAAGGUGUGUGAUGGUAUUUAUGAAGUGUUUGGUAUGUGUAUGAUCUGGUGUAUGAUGUU